rnacentral:rRNA from 1 species
UACGGAGGGGGCUAGCGUUGUUCGGAAUUACUGGGCGUAAAGCGCGCGCAGGCGGUCUUCCAAGUCAGUGGUGAAAGCCCGGAGCUCAACUCCGGAACUGCCAUUGAAACUGUUAGACUUGAGGAUGAGAGAGGUGAGUGGAAUUCCCAGUGUAGAGGUGAAAUUCGUAGAUAUUGGGAAGAACACCGGUGGCGAAGGCGGCUCACUGGCUCAUUACUGACGCUCAGGCGCGAUAGCGUGGGGAUCAAACAGG